GACAGAGGUGCCGAGCGUUAGGCGGAAUCACUGGGCUUAAAGCGUGUGUAGGCGGGUCGUUAAGUACCUUGUGAAAUCCCACGGCUCAACCGUGGAACUGCUGGGUAUACUGGUUGUCUUGAGCCAGCUAGGGGCGAGCGGAACAGACGGUGGAGCGGUGAAACGCGUAGAUAUCGUUUGGAACGCCAAUGGUGAAAACAACUUGCUGGGGGUGUGCUGACGCUGAGACACGAAAGCCAGGGGAGCAAACGGG
rnacentral:rRNA from 1 species